AAGGGGAUUUAUCUCGACCAUUUGGAUCUUAGGUCGACAUUGAUUUUGUGUAGCUCCUUGUUCGGGUGGUUUUUUAAGCUGUGAUUAAACUUAUCGGUUAAUGAAAGGAUAUAGUGAUGUAUUGAAUUGAUAUUAAGGUUAUUGUGAAUGGUGGGGAUGCGGGUUUUAAUGGGGAAGUUUCCGAUUAACCUAAGGAAUUUGUUUUGGGUAAUUUGGAGCUGGGAAAUGUGCGAAAUGGCCGCGUUAUGCCAGAUUGGGCAACCAUACGUGAUUACUGGGAUUGGCUAGAGCUGAAAAUCGCUAAAUCGUCUGCAAAACCAGCUAAAUUUACAUUUGAAGGGCAGCGAUUGAAAAUUGAAGCUAUAUAAACAUUAAAAAGUGUUGGAGACAGGAUUGAGCCUUGAGGGACUCCGGCUAAAAUGGCUUGAGGUGACGAGAGGGAGGAGUUCACUCUAACCUGUAUAAAUCUACUUUGUAAAAAUGAAAGGAUUAAAGUAGCUAAAGCAGCUUCUAUGUUAUAA